CGCACGGGUGCGUAACACGUAAGUUAUCUGCCUCUGGGUCUGGCAUAACUCCGGGAAACCGGAGCUAAUUCCAGAUGAUAUCGAAAGAUCAAAGUUUUAACGCCCAGAGAUGAGCUUGCGUCUGAUUAGCUAGUUGGCGGGGUAAUGGCCCACCAAGGCGACGAUCAGUAGCCGGUCUGAGAGGAUGAUCGGCCACAUUGGGACUGAGACACGGCCCAG
rnacentral:rRNA from 1 species